GAUCACAUGCCUCUAACAGCUGAUGCUUGUAGAAACCCCCAGGAUUCACAACACCCGGCAAUUUCAAAAUGCGAUCCAUAAAGCUAAUUGCAAUUCUUCAUACUGAAGGAAAGAGAUGAGAAAAAAAGAAAUGAGAAAACCCCCAUCCACAAUUUGCUUCUACACCACCUGAGAUGAUGUCAGUGGGCUAUUGCAUCCAGAACACCCAUGGUGCGUGCAGAAGAAGGUGCCUGAUCAGGCUUGUCAUCAUCAAGGUGAUGCUGGGACUGCGAAAUCCCACCAAAUGAAACUGCCUGGAAGACAAAAGAAAGGGAUAAAAUAGGUCAGCAGAGCCAUGCUUUACUACAACAAGCUAAACGAUAUUUGUGAAGGGCCUGCAAGUAACCCCAGACUUUCCAGGAGUGUCCUAGUGAGCCACGGUGAAAAAAGACCUCCCGAUCAGAUGGGAGAGGACUCAUACAGGUCCUGGCCCUGGCAAAGAGGGAGGUUUGCGAGCCUGAAGUUCAGUGGGGCAUUGCUGGUGAGAGUAUGAGGGGGGUUAAAAGCUUGGUU